UGGCGGGAGCGGUGAUUCCCGGACCCGGCUCGCGAGUCCGCGGCACCGGGCGGGUGGUCCCUGCGGGCGCGCCGGGGCCGCUCCCCCGCCGUGAGCCGUGGCCCUCGGACCGCGGCGAGCCUGGUACGACCUCUAAAGGCGUCCGCGAGCGCACUUACACGUCGGCUCGUUGGUCUAGGGGUAUGAUUCUCGCUUCGGGUGCGAGAGGUCCCGGGUUCAAAUCCCGGACGAGCCCGGCUUCGGUUUUGGCGCGAAGGGCGAGUGCGGCCGGGGCCUGGCGAGCGGGAACGGCGCCCGGCGUGCAGGCGGAUCCGCGACCCCGCCAAGCGAGCGGACAGCCUGGAACAGGUGCGCUGGGAGCUCUUUUGUUCUGUUCGCACACCCGGCGGCCGUAGGGAGCUCGCGGGGCACAGCCGGUCCAGGCCGGGGUGCGCAGGGCCGCGUGCGGACCCGGGCCAACCCCGCUCAUUCUGGCGCGGCGGCUGGGGCUGUGCGUGACGUGGGGUGGACCCGAGUGGGGGCGGAACCUGUCGGAAGUCGGGUCUCCGCGGCCUCGCAGGCGGUCUGCUUCCCGAGUCGCUCAGUCGCCGUCAGGAGCUCUCGCAGGUUUGUCCCAGCGGCCGGAGGGAGCAAAGCCCCGGCCCAGGGCGCGCUGGGCACCAGAUCCUCGAGUCGCAGAGCAUGUUCUUCAGCUCCUUCCUCGUUAGUAUAGUGCUCGGCGCGCAGCCCUCUGUGGUGGCCAGAGGAUCCCGGCAGACCCCUGAUCCCGGAGAGGGCGGCGAAAAGUUCUAAAACUGAAGGCUAUUGCGUUGGCCGGGAAUCGAACCCGGGUCAACUGCUUGGAAGGCAGCUAUGCUCACCACUAUACCACCAACGCCCGCUGGCGAACCUUGCUCCCGACGCUAGAACUUCCGAACGUGCGCAGGCGCGGGGCCUGCGAGAAGCCCCCUCCGAACUCGAGCGCAGGACGCACGUCAACGAAGCCGCGACCGAGGCGGCAGGUGGCACGCAGCCUACAGAUGAGAAACCGAAGUUCAGAGUACCUAUGUGAAGGGCUUUCGGAGUCACUGGGAGAGCCUCGGUUAUAUCUAAGACUUGUCUGGGGGCCAGGACUGCCGCGACACCGCGUGGGCUUUGUCACCCCCAGAAACAAGUCCCAAACGCACAGAUCGCUUCUCUGUUGGGCGAACCCCACGUGUCGCAAGGUUGAAGAACUGAGCCUUGCGCCAAGCGCGCCUGAGCACAUCUACCCACAGUAGGAGCUUUGAUUCCUAGGUGUUCACUCCCGGCUCUCGAAAGGACUCGGACAGAACCUUCGGGGCCGGUCCUGAGGCUGUGGCUCCGCCCCUUAUCGCUGACGAUCGAUCUGUUCACGAGAUCCGUGCAGCCCCCGGCUCGGGGAGGCCUCGUGGCGCAACGGUAGCGCGUCUGACUCCAGAUCAGAAGGUUGCGUGUUCAAAUCACGUCGGGGUCACGAAAGCUUGCAAUUUUAGAUGUAUGUUGAUAUUUUUCGGAGAAAGAAAGGGGGGAAAAAGAUUUGUUUCUACAUACGAAAAAAAUACAAACCUCAGCGUUCCUGUGAUUUUGCUUUUCCCAAAGUGUAUGGAUUUUCUCCUAAAAUACAAAUGUUGGAACGUCUAUUGCAGCUUUCCAGUAGUGAUCCUUUUAAUCUCAGAUAUUUUAGGUAUCCCAACACAAAUUUUUCAUGGGGAGCUAUGAGUUCUUGUUCAGAAAAUAUACUUGGAACAAUAAAGAUUCUUUAUUGGAA